UACGGAGGGUGCAAGCGUUGUUCGGAAUCAUUGGGCGUAAAGCGCACGUAGGCGGCUUUGCAAGUCGGAUGUGAAAUCCCUCGGCUCAACCAAGGAAGUGCAUCCGAAACUGCAGAGCUUGAGUACCAAAGAGGAUCGCGGAAUUCCCGGUGUAGAGGUGAAAUUCGUAGAUAUCGGGAGGAACACCAGUGGCGAAGGCGGCGAUCUGGGUGGAUACUGACGCUGAGGUGCGAAAGCGUGGGGAGCAAACAGG
rnacentral:rRNA from 1 species